GAUGAAGAACGCAGCGAAAUGCGAUAAGUAAUGUGAAUUGCAGAAUUCAGUGAAUCAUCGAAUCUUUGAACGCACCUUGCGCCCUUUGGCUAUUCCGAAGGGCAUGCCUGUUUGAGUAUCAUGAAAACCUCAACUCUCAUGGCUUGCCAUGAUGAGCUUGGACUCUGGGGGUCUUGCUGGCUUUACGGUCAGCUCCUCUCAAAUAAAUCAGCUUGCCGGUGUUUGGUGGGAUCACAGGUGUGAUAACUAUCUACGCUUGUGGUUUUUCGCCAGGUAACCUUCAGCAAUGGAGGUUCGCUGGAGCUCAUAAAUGUCUCUCCUCAGCGAGGACAGAUUUUGACCGUUUGAUCUCAAAUCAGGUAGGACUACCCGCUGAACUUAAGCAUAUCAAUAAGCGGAGGA
rnacentral:misc_RNA from 1 species